UUGGAGGGCAAGUCGGUGCCUGCAGCCGCGGUAAUUCCAGCUCCAAUCGCGUAUAUUAAAGUUGUUGUGGUUAAAAAGCUCGUAGUUGAACCUUGGGCCUGGCUGGCCGGUCCGCCUCACCGCGUGUACUGGUCCGGCCGGGCCUUUCCCUCUGUGGAACCCCCAUGCCCUUNACUGGGUGUGGCGGGAAACNGGACUUUUACNGUGAAAAAAUUGAGUGCUCCAGGCAGGCCUAUGCUACGAAUACAUUAGCAUGGAAUAAUAGAAUAGGACGUGUU
rnacentral:rRNA from 1 species